AUGCCUUACAGCUCAGCUGGUGCAAUGGAAAAUCCCGGUGCGGGUGCUGCUUACCAGCUGGCGCUAGUGGUAACUGAGUGCUUUUGCUUUUGCCCAAAUGCCUGAGAAUUUAUUCUUAUAUAUCUAGUCAUUUCAUGGACUUGGACGCGGGGCACGGUUGAGCAUGGCUUGGACAGGGUAAAUGGGUUUGUCAAUUGAGGUCACAUUUAGGGCCUGUUCGGUGUGGCCAUGUGUACUCGUUCUUUUUGUACGGAUCUCCACUUUUUUUAAAAAGUACAGCUCAAUAUGACAACUGUUUGGUGGGCAGAGCAGCUGUACUAAUAUUACAGCUUUUUUUUGCAAAGUACAGAUGAAAAAGACCAGAUGUUUGGUGGAUUAAGCAGCUGUACUCAUAUGAUUCACCAAGAUCAUAUGAAUAAGCAGUAUUUAACUUCAACAGUGUGUGACAGUGUACUCUGUAGAAUAAUGUAGAAUAGCAUUUAUAGUGGAGGUAGUUAACUAAUAUUGA
rnacentral:sRNA from 1 species